rnacentral:tRNA from 2 species
UCUUCCUUGGUCUAGUGGUCAUGAUUUCCGCUUGUCAUUAAUACCGAUAAGCGCGGGAGACCGGGGUUCGAUUCCCCGAGGGAGAG